GAUCUUGGCUCACUGCAACCUCUGCCUCCCAGGUUCAAGCAAUUCUCGUGCUUCAGCCUUCUGAGUAGCUGGGAUUACAGGCAUGUGCCAUCACGCCCGGCUACUUUUUGUAUUUUUAGUAGAGACACAGUUUCACCAUGUUGGCCAGGCUGGUCUCAAGCUCCUGACCUCAGGUGAUCUGCCCGCCUCAGCCUCCCAAAGUGCUGGGAUUACAGGCGUGAGCCAUCGUGCCCAGCCUGAGGUUUUUUUUUUUUUGAGACGAGUCUCACUCUGUCACCUGGACUGGAGUGCAGUGGCGAGAUCUUGGCUCACUGCAACCUCCAUCUCCUGGGUUCAAACUCCUGACCUCAGGUGAUCUGCCCACCUCGGCCUCCCAAAGUGCUGGGAUUACAGGCAUGAGCACGCCUGCGGAGGAGUUGGUGCCCGAGGAGGAGCUGGGGGCUGCCAAGAAGGUGCCGGCUGAGGAAGGGGUGAUGGAAGAGCUCUGAUCCCCUUCAGUGGGAACCGUAGUGUCAGUGCUCAUUUAUGUCGCAUUUGCUUAGGAUUCCAGAUCUCCAUCCACUUUUCUCCUGGGGGCUGGGCUGGGGGUCAGGGCUGGGACUGUGCCCCCACACUGUGCCUCAGCUUCCCAUCUCUGCCCGCUUGCUUCCCCUGCCCCCAACCCCUGCCUCCUCUAUCCCCCAGGCUCUCCAACUCUGCAGC
rnacentral:lncRNA from 1 species